GCCCCCUUAGCUCAGUCGGUAGAGCGCUUCCAUGGUAAGGAAGAGGUCAACGGUUCGAUUCCGUUAGGGGGCC
rnacentral:tRNA from 6 species